UGUACUGCUGCUGCAAAUCAAAUCAUCAGCAGAGAACACGUCCUCAUUCUACCCAGGGGUACAGCCACUGCUUUUAGUAGUCUGAGCUGUGCUUAACUGGCUACAGAAAUAGCCUAUAAUCCAGGAUGUGAGAGUAAGGAAAAACUGGUAUGUGACUCCUAAGGGAUUCUAGUAACAUGGGUGAAUAAGAGAAAAAGGUGGGUGUCUUAAUGCGUGCAGAUCUCUACAUAUCAUACCACCUGCCAGAACACAAUGAACAUGAUAUUGCUAAGCAUUGAAAAGAUUUAUCAUGCAGCAGCCAUGAAGAAAGUAUCCUUGCUUCUCAGUUUGGUUGGAAAUUUGGAAAGGUAUUUAUAUCUGCACCCUCCUUUUCGUAAUGGUGUCCAGUUGUGGAUUUAGGGUGCUUAUUUUAAGAAAGCAUUGGUGUUAAACAGCUAUGGUAUAGACAGCACCAUGUACCAUACAGAUGUUCUGAAUCCCAUCAGUGCAUAUCAUGCAGCUAGCAAAUACUACACAUCAGAAAAAAAAUUUCCACUAUCUGUUGUAUAUAAGGUAAUCUCAGUUUUUGCUGAGUUCAUCCUGUCGCCUAACUUUUUGUAGCACAAAUUUACAUGAUGUGUAGGUACUUCAAAAAUAACUUCUAAAUUUGUUUUGGCUUUGUUUUAUUUAAAAGCUUUCUCAGAUUGCCCAGGCAUAUUUUUGUCCUGUAUCACCAGCAGGACUCAAGCUCAGAAUAUAUUAUUGUUUUCUUGAUGUGUUAUGUGUUAUCCAACAUCUGCUUUCUUUGUCAUGCCAAAUCCUUAAGCAAUAUUUUGAAAGACCUGAAAGAUAUUUUAAGUAGUAAACAUCUUCUAGUAACAAUACUUAAUUUCAUCACUACUCUUAAAAAUUUCGUCUGCAUGUUAAUUGCUUUUGAGUUUCCAUACGGUCUCUCCAUUAGUAUUUAGGAUUUUUUUUUUUUUUCCUUUUUACUACACACCUCAUGUAGCCAGUGCCAUAACAUUUAGAAAGAUAGUUAUAAAAAGGUAGUAAUCUUUGUGAUUUUCUUUCCCUUACUGCCUUUAGGCCAGCCUCUUGAACAGAAGAAAAACUAAAUUGUUAAUGCAUGGGAAAACAAAUACAGUGAUUUUAUAUGUACUGUAGUUUGAGUUUUUCUCUGUAGCACUCCUUUAAAAACACUAUUGCAUAGUUAUCCUAAUUACAUGGUUGCUGUCUGGCCAGCAAAAGAAGAGUUCAACAAAAUAAGCUUCAGCAAUUCUCUGAAGACUGCAUUGGACUUUACUAUUAUUUUCUCUAGUUCUGACCUUAACCUAGGACUGAAGGUUAUCUAAAGGCAAAAAUAGCCUCAAUGCUGUCUACUCUGAAUUUCCUGCAGUAGUAAAUGUUGUUAUGUUUCUGCUAAGUUUUCUACAGAGACAGCCUGAAUUUCUGUCCAGGACCUCUUUUUUUUUCAUAACCUGGGUUAGGGUCUGGAUUUAAGAUCUGUGGACGCCACAUCCCAUGUAAAAUUUACCAAGCGUUAUCAUUCAUGCGUUCAUUUCACUGUUAAAAGGAUGCCAUCUUCUGCCAACUUUCGCUUGGAAGUAUUUAGCUAUGCAAGCCUGCAGAGAAACACAAGGGAUAAAGAGCUGGUUUUUGCUUUUUGACAGUUCAUUUUCUUCCUGCCUACGACGUGUAUAGAUCUGAGGCUCACAGGUGGAGCUAUAGGCCAUUGAGAAACAUGAUGCUCUAGUGUCCUUCUCACACCAAAGCAGAAUACAGACCCUCUUGACUGGAGGACCCAUUUCAGCCCACUGUGAGCAGUCCUACUUCCAGAUCCCGGCCCAUCCAUACAAGAAAGACCAAGUGAGUGGUGAGGAUACAGGCUCUUUUUGUAUAUACCAAGGGCUUUUGUUGGCAUUAUCUGCAAAAUAUCUUUGAAAAUUAAGGAAGUUUGGACAUUUCAAAGGAGAGACGCCUCAAACCAGCUGCCACUUUGCUCAUUUCAACCUUUGACACUAUGAAGAGUUCCAAGGACUUGUCUUCUGAAAGUGUUUACCUUAGCUAUCCUGCCUACCCCAUGUUUUGUAUUCCUGUGCUCUAGAGGCAAGCAAUGCAGAGCAGGCAUUGUCUCAAAAAGUCCAUGUUUCUAGGAAACUACAGAGUCAGCUUGGCUGUGUGACACAGGAACUGGGGUUGCACCAAGAGAAUUUCCUGACUUCAUGCUCAGAGACAGGAGGUUAUGGUUCUCCACAGAUGCUUUAAGUGCUUUAUAUCUCUACAGUCUUAAUUUGGCAGGUUCUGCUGAAACUACCCGCAAAGGUGCGGUUCCUGAAGUUAUCCUGAUUUCACAGUUUGCUUUACUAAGGUAACAGAUUGACUUCUUUUGUAGCCAUCUGGAACUGACUUCUGUUGUUCAUAUACCACAUUGGGUGGACACUGUGGUAGACAGGGAAACAGUAACUUCUUAUCUUCUUGUACAGGGUUAUGUCCUGCCCGAUGGGUUGCCACAGAAGCACUAAAACUGUCACACACAAAAGCACCACAGGACUCCCACCAUCAACAUGAGCUCUCUGCCUGCCUCUGGUGCUAGCUGUCAGAACUGCUCCAUCUGAAAUCCAGUUCUUUAGAUUUAUGCAGUAGACAUGUUUGUCAGAGUAUUUGGCACCAGUGACAUCAUCUUUGUUGAAAUGCCGGACAGCGUGAUGAGUCCCAGAUGUUACUCACCGAAAGCUAAAAAAGAAUAAAAUAUAAAGAUCAACUGUAACAGCUA